rnacentral:sRNA from 2 species
AGCGAGUCCCGUUAGGUGAGGCUCCUGUGCCGACAAGGUGUGCUGCCCAGAAAUGUCGAGAGACGCCAAUGGGUUGAACAGGCCCUGCCGAACGAAGGCUUGGUCUAAUGCACACCGCGGCCCGCGCCCUGCGCGCGGCCUUUGAGUCGCACAGUGCCGAAGCUCUACGAAGGGGACUUGGU